AUGCCUAAUCCAGAGCAUGCGAUCUGGGUUACCCAAGAUCAACAGGUGCUUACCUUUUUGCUUGCAUCUCUGUCUUGCGAAGUGCUCAUGCAGGUGUCCAAUAAAACCACGGCCGCGGGCGUCUGGCAAGCCCUGGUAGAAAGUUUUUCCGCGCGGUCCAGGGCGCGCCAGAUUCAACUCCGCUCGGCCAUCGGCAACGCCCGCAAGGGCGAUCUCUCUGCUUCCGCUUACUUCACGAAGAUGAAGGGGCUAGCGGAUGAACUUGCUGCUGUAGGAAAGCCCCUGGACGAGGAUGAUAUCGUCUCGCACAUCCUC
rnacentral:rRNA from 1 species